rnacentral:tRNA from 1 species
AUAGGUUGUAACUCAGUGGUAGAGUGCUUGCCUUGCAUAAGUGAGGCCCUGGAUUUGAUCUUUGGCACCACAUAAAAAUAAAUAAAUAAAAAUAAAGAUAUUGUGUCCAUCUAAAACUAAAAAAAAAUAAAAUAAAAGUAAGGAAGUAUAGGGCUGGGGUUAUAGCUCCGUGAAAUAGCACUUGCCUAGCAUGUGUGAGGCACUGGGUUCAAUUCUCAGAAUGCAUG